CUGCUGACGCCACACUUGUGAAGUUUGUAGCGCGGAACUUUUAUAUAAGGCAGAUAAGGCAAAAAAUUGUGUUCUUACCUUUCUAACUUCUAAGUUUAUUUUUAUUUUUGUUAGAAAUGAAGGAGUCAACGGUAUUAAGUGUAGCUGCAUCAAUAGCGUUUGCCCUAGGAAUUUUCGUGGGUUAUGAGCUUAAAACUUGGAGGAUUGAAUGGUUGAAAAGACGUCGAGAAAGGCUUGCCAAGAAGCUUGCGGCAACUCAGCAGCAAAUAGAUAAUUUGUCAGAACGAGAGCGCUACUAGCAUGUGGUAAAAACAUUGCAAUUCAUGGCUGUAAGAGGAGUAGGAGGACUACUAACUGAAGCUGUUUCAUCAUCAUCUGCUGGGUGGAUUUUAUACAAGAAGUGGUGGCACGGGGCACCUGCUUCACCAGUGUAUGAUGGUGGUGAAAUGCCAGCAACUGCAGACCUGCCCAAAUGGAGCUCUAUUGCACCAACAUGGCAGUGAUAUGACAAAGUUUUAGCAUAGAUACAAGGGUAGUAUCUGCUUAACUUCAACUUGUGACAGGACAGCUGUGAGUGGUCAGACAUCCAUCAUCAAGAGCCUGGAGUCAUCAUUGCUGAAACUGGACCUUAAUUGUGUUGUUGCCCAUCACAACAGUUGCUGUUUUUUAUAAUUAUAAUUGGCUUCAUCACUUGUAAUAAAAUGGUCAUUAAUUCUGUUUCUAAUUGCCCAGUGUGGAAAGAUACCUUUCUGACUUGUGCUCAGAGCUCAGACAGCAUUUUUGUGCAAUAUAUGUUUUUUUUUGUCUCACACUCAGUGACUUAUUGACUACUGGUUAGUGAAAAUGUAAAUGCAUUGCUGUUGUAAGAAUAACUACGUUUCUGGCACUGCCUUAUUGCUGGAUGCUUGUGAAUAGAUAAGGAAAACUUC
rnacentral:lncRNA from 1 species